GGGAAAGAAGCUUUAUAUAGCAAUUAGCUGUUACCUAAUAGAUAGUGACUUACUACUCACCUACCCUA
rnacentral:tRNA from 1 species